rnacentral:rRNA from 1 species
GAACGGCAGCACGGACUUCGGUCUGGUGGCGAGUGGCGAACGGGUGAGUAAUACAUCGGAACGUGUCCUGGAGUGGGGGAUAGCCCGGCGAAAGCCGGAUUAAUACCGCAUACGCUCUGUGGAGGAAAGGGGGGGAUCGAAAGACCUCUCGCUCAAGGGGCGGCCGAUGGCAGAUUAGCUAGUUGGUGGGGUAAAGGCCUACCAAGGCGACGAUCUGUAGCUGGUCUGAGAGGACGACCAGCCACACUGGGACUGAGACACGGCCCAGACUCCUACGGGAGGCAGCAGUGGGGAAUUUUGGACAAUGGGCGCAAGCCUGAUCCAGCAAUGCCGCGUGUGUGAAGAAGGCCUUCGGGUUGUAAAGCACUUUUGUCCGGAAAGAAAACUUCUGCCCUAAUACGGCGGGAGGAUGACGGUACCGGAAGAAUAAGCACCGGCUAACUACGUG